ensembl:lncRNA
UUUUUCUUUUACUUUUUUAUUCACUACUUUAGCUUCUCUUUUUGAGUUUCAAAGGGGUGCACUGUGAUGUCGGCAAUCACAGAUGCUAGUUGCCCAAUAAGAGGAGUUUAGUGUUGACCCUAUAUUUUCUGUGCCAUUUGGGACUUCAGUAGGUGAAGAACUUUACCUCAGUUUUCUUGCUUUGUACUUCUUCAAUCAUUUUGUUGCAUCUGUACAUCGUAUGUGAGAACAGAGCGAUUGGAUGUUUUCGUGUGCUAUGGAAAUACUGCAUUAAUAAUAAAGAUACAGGGCAUCCAAGAUGGAUCUCAAGAGUUCUCUGGAAGAAUGUUCAAUGGCACUGAAUUUGUUUCUAAAUAACAAGUUCUCUGAAGCCCUGGAAUUACUUCGUCCAUGGUGAGAUCAUGAUAUUUGCUUGAAUUUCCAUAAACAGUGUAAAAUAUACUAUCUGUAAGCUGAAGAUUGAUUUAAAGCCUCUGAAGAUAGUAGCUUUCAUUUAUUCCCUCUUGACCAAAAGUAUUUCUCAGUAUUCUGGAGUUUUAAAACUGCUCAUUUCUCAAGUCCAUCACAAAAAUUGUUAAAGAAAUAGUCUAUUCACCUGCAGAAGGAAAAAACAGAACAAGACUUUACCUAACGUGCCUUUGAUCAUAGACUUUGUGCAGUGAAGAUGUUUUUUCACCAUUAACAAAGAUGAAAAAAUGCUUCCAGAAUACUCUUCUAAUGUUUUUUAAAUUACAUCUGCCUGACAUUUGUAUUUGCUUUUAAAUCAAACCUUUCCAUUUUCUGGUUAUCUUCUUCCCUAUUGCCUUUGCUCUUUACAAUGAAGUCUCUAUAAACUGACAAAUAUAAUUACAUAGAAUGUUCUGAAGUGUGUGUGCUCUUGCUUUCUCAGUAUCACGUUCAUCAGUGCAAUACUGAUAAACAUGGUAAUACAAAACAGUAGUUGUUUGCUUGCUCUGUAAGUUAUUCUGGUUUAUGAAAGGAGACUUCAUUACCAUUUCACUGCAGUUAAAUACAGAAGGGGAAGAACUCUUGGGAUUAGAGCUGAAGCCUGUACAGUAGAAGCUCAUUUUUUUAAUUUCAUUAAAAUAGCUGGUAAUAGCUAUUUUAAAUCAUCUACUGGGCCAUACCUACAUUGAGUUCAAGAGUAGGUAGCUAGGGAACUUGAAAGGUUAGCUGGGUAAGUGUGGGUGAACUGUCACUGUCGGUAAUCAGGGUGUCUGGGGUCUGACUCCUAUUCACAAUCCUUUUCCUGUCUGAUGUGUGUUAUGUCAAAGGGUCUUUCAGUGAGGGCGUUCUGUAAUGUGUGUUGGUAGAGUGAUGUGAAGUUCCUGCUCUGCUGUUUGACAGUAGUAAGAUUGAGUGACAGUGGUGGGGUGGUGAUGUUAGGUAGACAGUACAGACAAGUGAAAAUGCACUGUUAAGUGCAUGUUGGGAAACUAAUUUAACUGUCUAAUGUGCAUCUAAGUUCUAUUCUGUGCAUAUUGCACAGUGUCUUCAAGCACAAACAAAAUUGCGUGUCAUAGAGCAACAUUUUGAGAAAGUACAGUACAGAAAGCUAGUUUUAUUUUUUUGAAUUAUUGUGAAAUAAUACUGCAUAUAAAGGUUGUGUGUAUUAAUAAAUACAUAUACAUACAUUUCCAAAAUAUUUUAAUAAAUAUUUCAUUAUAUAUAUUGG